AUGAUUACAGAUCUGUUAGCAGCCCUCUGGCACUAUGUAGACUUGCACAGCAAUUACUUCUGCAGUUACUUCUACAUCAUCCUGCUGGUUGUAAACUUGAAGAAUAGUCGUGAAAUAACACCAAGUUUCUGGGCUGAUGGGUUCCCAAGCGAUGAGCUGUCACAAGAGCUGUGGCCUGUUGCUCUUCUUCAGUUGUGGAGCAGGUGCAAAGUCAAGCAAAUAGCACAGGCCAUCACAGUCGUUCUGUGCUGCGAGCCUUUGUGUCCACAUCUCAGAACUGGAUAAGGCUUCCUCCAGGAUUCCUCUGCAGGUCAGUGGUAACACUAACCACUAACUCUGUGUCUCGCAGUGGUUUUGGUACUCGUGACUGGACUAGAGAACUGAAUCAGAUGCUCUAACAGGGUACAAGAAAAUAAUUAGAGAGCUACUCUUGCACGAUCGUGCUCACUAGAAGAUUGCACCAGGUCCCCUGCAAAGAAGGCGAACCAACAAGGCUUGAUUGCCUGACUCUUCUUCCUGAUUAAUAUGCUGUCCUCUUCAUUCUUUUUAAUGGGCAAAAGUUUCACUUUUCUGAAAGAAUUGCCUCCUUUCAAGGCAAUUGGACUCUUAGUGGGAUAAAGGAACAUUAGCUACAGUGCUCUGAGUGGAGGGGGAAGCAGCUGAUUCAGAUAUCUGGAGGGACAGCAUUAUAAUUCAAAACUUGACCUCCGGUUGGAUGGUGCUUCUCUUCCAUGCUAGGACUGGAUUUGGUUGUGUUGUUACAGACGCACCAUUGUGAGUCC
rnacentral:lncRNA from 1 species